AACCGACGCGUCGUACGUUACGCAAUAUAGAAACAGGUAAGGACCAGAGAAUCUCGUUCUAGGAUCAAGGAUAUCUUCGUCUGGCGCGAUCUCUUCCUUCUUCAACGAGGGGUGCGAGAGACGGCAAGAAGGGGCCGUGCUUGAAAAGGAACAUUGUGCCGAAUCGUUUUCCCAGGGCCUUGCUGAAGGGUAGGGUACACUCCCCCCGUCAAUCCCCAUGCAUGUCGAAGAAGGAAGGGCCUAGUAUAUAAGGUCCCGCUCGAGCUGCAGCGAUCACAGAACAUCAUCGUCAACGGCGAGGAGAGGAAGUCUCUCGGCUUCUUCGACCGAUCGACCGACGUGGUCAAACGGUCGAGGAGGAUCGGCAGAGGCUGAAGAGAAGAGAGGAGAAGAGGAGAAAGUGGACCCAUAUCUAAUCAGCGAUUGCCAACGUUUUUCUGUCGCAGAUCCGAUCGGAGCGUCUACAUCACUAUCACGAUGGUCUCAUCGCCACGGCCUGGAGCAACGAGGCAGCAUCAAUCACGGAUAAUCGGGGCAUUCAUCGACGGGACGGCAGGGGAGGAUCAAGAUCGACGGGUGCAGCCGGAAAUAAGCAUCAAGUGGAAGCCAGCUGUUCAACGAGGAACCAAAACAUGGACGGAUAUCAAGUAUCUUCUGAGCGAUCUCGCGUUCCUCGACGAUCGAGGGAAAUCAUCGGAGAUCAAGAGCGACGAUCGCGCAAUUCUUCGAUUCACUCACAUCUCAAGCUAUUAUUCGCAGAAUUAUAUUUAUUAAAUUUAUAUUAUAUGGGGAAUUUGUUCAAUUUUUAUCGCGUUUAUUAAAACGCUUUUCGCAUUUAUAUGUUGCACAAGAGGCGAAAACAGGCUUUCACGUGUCUACCCGGCCAGCCUGAGAGAAUCAAUUGAUUUACCUAGCAUACAUUUCUUUAUACACCUUCGAAACAAAGCAUCUUCAUCGAAGUGUACAGAGUUCCGCGAAUUCAUCGAGAACGAAUCUUCCGAUAUCGACCUCGAAAAACUAAAGCAGCAAUGUUUUUUCACCGGGCCCAAUCAUUCUCCGUCUCAAGAAAGUUUUUCCAAUCGUCAGACGGAUCCAAUUAUCGGACGUCAAUCGUCGAUCAUUAAUACGACGAUUGGCAAAAUUCAAACAAAUUCUGGUCGGAAUUACCUGGCUAACAAAGGCUGCACCUGUUAUUCUCGCCGGACUGAAGAACAAAAGCACUUUCCAAGCAAUGAAAUCAAAAUAACUCAAUAUGAAUGAUUCGUCAAAAAUAGCAAGACUUGGAAACGUCAUUUCAUAUUAUCUACUACUCUGUGUUGCUUCGAAAAGCAACAAUACGUGCAACAAAAAGUAUUAUUUCUUUGUAAACUGUUCUGAAAUUUACGGAAAGGAUAGACACAGAAAGUUUACAGAUAAAAGGAGAUUAGAUCUGCUUCUUUUAUUUUCUGAGAUUAUUGAAAAAUCAUCGAAAAAUAUGAGCAUGAGCACCACACGACUUACUUCAGGAUUAUUUUGCAGUUACUUCAAAUGAGAAAAAAGCAUUGAGAUAUUAUAGUAUGCUCUGUACUGUUUCGCAUCGCGCGAAAUUCUGAAUUCUGCUUCGCUCGAAAUUGGAUCCAAAAAGGACAAAACGUCUCUCUAUAUCUUUCCUCGAAAGGAUCACGGCAUGGACGGAAUCAAUUCUUCCGCCUUCAACCCGGUCAUUCUACAUUGUCACAUGCAAGUGCAAGUCUCACAUCAGGAAUAAUUUCGCAGAACGUUAUUAAACUACGGCUGCAGCACAGGCCACGCCUUUAAACUGUUUUUUACAUAUAUCGAUUUACAGCAGAGAUUCAUAUCGCGAGAAAACGUUUCUAUUACACUUCCCGCAACAAUCUUUUUAUGCGCUGCAAUCUUUCAUACUUGACGGUCAAAGAAAUAUUAACAUGAUUUCAAAUGUGUUUACAGGACGAUAAUUAUUUGAGAAAAUAUAGCGAUCUUACAUGCAACACUUUUACAAGACUAUUUUGAUCAUUUCACGAUUCAAAGAGAAGACGCACACAUCUACGACAUACGAUUAAGGCUUCAGAGCAGAUCAAAAUGCAAAAUCGGAAAUCACGCCGUAAAUUAUAUUGUGCAGCCAAAACAGCUUUGCACGGAACAAAACUACACCGAAAAACGAUUCUCCAGAAUUCAAUUUAGCUGGAGUGAUAAUUGAUAUUUCUCGAUCGAAAUUCGUAAGUUAUUUCGGAUCGACGAGUCAACGCACCGUCAAUUUUUGAGAUUUGACAUUUUUGAGUUUGAUUAAUAAUUACCGAAGAACAAAAUAGCAGCGCUCAAAAGCAAAGAUAUGCAAAUUUAUAAACAAAAUCCAGGGAAGUACGCAGAAAAAAUAAACAUUCGCAAAACGAAUGUUGUUUAAGAAAUUAUUUAAAUAAUUCACAAUUGAGCUAAUUUACGAUACUCAUUAUCAUUUUCUUCCGAAUUACGUUAUGCAAAACAGCACACGCGGAGUCCUUUUUGGUCCAAUAUAAGGAUACUUUGAAAACGACCAGAAAUUGCCAACAAACUUGGCGAAAAAACUUUUAUCAUUACAUCAAAAGCAAGCAAUAAUAAUUUUUUGCACACGGCUCUGUAGCGGCAUAAUUAACUUAUAAAUUAAUUUCUUAUCUGAAAUUGCGUUCAACGAGCAAAAACCGAACACAAAAGACGUAGUAAAAUACACGAAGAAACAAGAAAGAAAUCAUAUACUCGGCACAAACUCUCAAACUAAUAACUCUACACGACUCUGCAUAUAAUCGAUAUUGAUCGAUGCACGAAGAUUCAAAUCUAUAUGAAGAUUAUAAAAAACAGAUUUUUUUAUCAAAAGGAAUUUGCACUUGAUGACUCGACGCAAAUCUCAGGACAAAAAUCGCUAUCGCGAACUUUCCGACUGUGCAAGAAUCCUCGAUAAGUUGAUCAGUAAAAUCUUAUCUAAUCGACAACUGUUAUUGAUUUUUUUUCAUUAGGCAAGAGAAGCUCUACAAUUAAUCAAGAAAUCAAGAACAAGCAAUACGAUAAAUUGCUUCUUCAAAAUCCAUCGGAAAGAUUACUCUCGGAAAACUACAUUGGACGAGACAGAUGGAAAUCAAGUAUCAAAUUAUCAUUACAACGUGGGACUCAAUCGUUUAAAUCACGGACAACAUGGACGUCGUGGGACCAUUGACAAAAAGUAAUAUAUUUUGUUUUAAUUUUAUUUAAUUUCAUUAUAGAUUAUAAUAUAAUUUUUUAGAUAAUAAUAUCAAUUAAUUUUUUUGACUACAAGCGAAAAUUAAAUUUGAUAUCAUGAAAAAAUGAAAUCACAAUCUUGCCUUUAGGCAUUAAAUUCGCGUUCAAUUAUUUAUUAACUUAUAUGUUAUAGGUUUUAUUUAUUUAUUUAUUUUUAUUUUCUUUUAUUUUGUUCGUUUUUGUUUCGCUAAUCUACGUGAAAUCAUCAUCGAGAAUCUCUUUCUUUGCCAUAAAUAUGUGUAUUACUAAAAUAUUCAUAUAUGCAAAUUAUAUAUAUUCCAUUCACACAUCUCUAUCAUCUUGCGCUAAUAUAAAAUUUCGCAUAGUACGAAAUAAAUAUGUAAAUUCAAUUAUAACAUUGAGAAUACAGUUAACAGAAUAUAAAAUUGGAGUUUUGAAAACUUUGUCAUUUUUACAUUUGAAAAUCAUUUUCUGCAGGUAACGUCAAACUCAGUAAAAAAAAAAAAAAAUAUACGAAGCCAUAUAUUUUUACGAAAUCGUAAAAAUUGUAUUAUAUCAAUGAAAUUUUAUUUCGAACAGCAAAUUAUAUUAUUGAUAUAUAAUACAUAAUAGCUUGAUAUAAUGUUACUGGCAGCAAACUCUCUGAUUACCGUAAAAACGAUAGAGUUUCAUAUAUUUAUCCAUACAUUUAAAUUUUCUAAAAGAACAGAAUUUAUUUUAAUUUUAAAUUCUUUUACUUGCCUGCGCUUUGUGUGAACUUCAUCGUACAUAUUUUAUUAUUAUAUAUAUAUGUCAUGUAUCUUAUUGAAUAUUCAAUACAUUUUAUCGAUGAUUUCACGUCUGAUUUGCUAUCUAUUUUUUAAUUUUAAUUUUCUCCAUCUUUUUUUUCUUAUUUUUUAUUUUGAAUGUUUUGAUUUAUUUUUUACUCAUAACAAAGAAGAGAGAAAACCCUAAAAAAAAAUAAAAAAAGUAUAAAUAUGAAAAGUAUGAUACGUUCUACGAAACAAUAUGUUUAAUCAUAGGCGUAACAAAUACAGACUCAUGAGGUAAUGGGAAAUGUCUUCGCAAUAAAAAGACAGAUUGCGAAUAAUAUAGGUGUUUAUUUGUGGCGCAAAAUAGCGAGAAAAACAGCGGCGUCACGUUGCCUCACGCGUGAGAAUGUGUAUAUCAUGACCGGUUAUAGAUAUACAGAACACACACACACACAUACGCAGGUCAAGCUUAGAAAAAGAUAGCUACCCAUUCUAUUCAUGCUGUCUUUUUCUCUGUGAAGGACAUUUCAACUUAUGGUCAGACUAUCUCGUAAGCAGUCUAUAUUUACUAUGUCUAUGUGUUUAAUAGACAAAGCUGAUUGUCUUGAAAAUAAUUUUGUGCGACUUUAUAACAUGUACUGAGAUUGAAACAAAAAUAUUUGAAAUUGUUACUAAAAAGAAAAACGCAAACAAAAAUUCAAUGAUUUAUAACGGUACGGAGAUGCUGGAAGGAUGAGAAAGAAUUUGUUUCGCAAAAUUGUCUAGUGAAAAUUACAGAUAAAAAUGUACUGUAAAAUGUAAUUGCUGUUUUGCGAGACCAACUGUUCCUUUCAAGAUCUUCGUGCAGUCAAUCUCCGCGCAAUUGAAUAUCCUCUUAAAUCUAUUAUGCGUAGUUUCAGCUGAUCAGUAUUCCAAUAAUCACAAAAAAAUAGCACAUGCAGAAAUAAAAAAAAAAUUUUUGUUUAUCUCGUGUGCAAAUAUUCAAUGCAGAACGUAGAUUACGUAAAACACUUAUAUAGAUACUUAUAUGCGUCACACAAUUGCCAUAUAUAUUUAGAUGUAGUUUCUAAUUUCCGGUAUACUCAGAAUCAUACCGGAGACAAAUGGAUGAUAUCUCCGUGAUUAGGAUAAGUCAUUACAGAACGCUCUGGAAAAGCUUUGUGAGAUGUCCUGUCAAUUGCAAAUUUUCUAAUUCAUAGAGUAUUUCUUUCAUUCUUUUUGUCAUUAAAAUAUUAGACAAUCAUUGUCUCGUUUGUGAGAAAAAUUGUUUUGUUAAUACAUUCACUGCAAAACGUUACAUUAAUCAUUUAAAGAACUAAAAAAUCGGAUAUUUUUAAUUUACAGUUGAUAGCUUCAUCUCGUAAAUUUCUAUUAUUUAUCUUUAUUGAUCUUUAUAAGGAAUAUAAAUAAAAUUAGGAUAGAUGAAUUCAUGUAGUAAUCCGUAAGUAUUUGAUACUACAUGUAAUAAGACCGGAGAAACCUCUCUGUCAAUUAAAGAAAAAACUAUAUUAAUACGAAUUAUGUAAAGAACAUUAACUGCUUUUUACAUAGUCAGGAAUUUUUCACGACAUAGUCUUAAGAUUUAGAAUAAACGCCUAUAUAUUUUUGCGGUAAUCAUUAAUUACCAAGAUAAAUAAUUAUUGAACUGAACUCGAUAUCGAAUUGAAAAUUCACGACAAAGAUGAUUUGUACUUUGCCCGUAGUAACGAUUAAAAUUAAAUUCUUAGCUGUCUGAAAAAUACAAUUCAAUUGAAGGUACUUAAGAUACAUUUAAAAAAAAGACGCGCUUUAUAUAAUACGCAACAGAAUUGUCCGAAUAGAGCAUACAUAAACGUAUUACGCUGCUUUUGAAUGCUUCUCGAAUGUUGCUUACCUGAAUGUUACUGUUUCUGUUGUUUUUACGUUUAUGUUCAAAUUCUACGCUUUUUGGUCAGCCCUGACAUACACGGUACACGUCCCAAGAUUCUCCAAUUGUUCACGUUGAAUUUCUAUUUGGCGCAUUGUUACUGUUAUAAUAAGCCGUCGAAUGUUAUACGUAAAGACCAAUGUUACAUUUUUUAUUUUCCUUUAAUAGGCCUGUUUAAAUCUAUUACUUUAUCGUAUGUUUUUCGUUAUAUCGAAAUUUUGGACAUACUCACAUUAUAUUUAACGCUGUUGAUCUUUUGUUGAUUGUGUAUUAUUAAUACUUAUUUUGUAUUGUAGAGAUCAUUGCAUCAUCUCAUGCAUCAAAUACCUACAUGUUGUCGAAUAUCUUGUAUUCAGAAAUUCAUUAAUUCUCUCACGUCCAAGCACGAUAUUUUCGUUAAAUUUGAAUAUAUUUUCUAAUGAUAUUUUACGUUUAAUGUUAGCAAGAAACAUUGAUAUUCAUAAUAAAUAACAUAAAAUCAUAAAAUAGCAACAAACUAUAGAAUUAAAACUUUUUAAAAAAAAAAUUUUACCACUAUAUGAAAUUAUCUAAAGAUCGACAGAUAUCCUAUAUCCUAAUGCAUAUAUAAUUUACAAAUCUGAAUUUAAAAACAAUUUAAAUUCCAAAUCCAAAAUUCACAUUAUCGUUGUUGUUAAAAAUAUCUACAAGUUUGAAAUGUGUUCUAUAUCUUGCAUUAAAUUAUGGUCAGUUAAAGUUAUUAGUUUUUGUCCACCUUAAACGUAUUAUUAUAAUCGUUACUUACAAUUUUCGUUAUUCAAUACCAUUUUUGUUUACCCUAUCCAUUUGUUCGAUACUUAUUAUUAUUAUAAUUAUUAUUAUUAUUAUUAUUAUUAUUAUUAUUAUCUUUUAUUAUUAUCUUUAUUAUUAUUUAUUAUUUAGAUUUUAUUACAUUCCCAGAUUAUUUUUUAUUAUUGUUGACGGCGAUUAAUCAAAUCAAUUCCAUUUGGGCAAUUAAUAAUGAUUACGCUUAUAUUUUUUUCCUGGCAUACA